GAGUUUGAUCCUGGCUCAGGACGAACGCUGGCGGCAGGCUUAACACAUGCAAGUCGAACGAUCCUUCGGGAUAGCGGCAGACGGGUGAGUAACGCGUGGGAAUCUACCUUUUGGUACGGAAUAGCUCCGGGAAACUGGAAUUAAUACCGUAUGUGUCCUUCGGGAGAAAGAUUUAUCGCCAAGAGAUGAGCCCGCGUUUGAUUAGGUAGUUGGUGGGGUAAUGGCCUACCAAGCCGACAAUCAAUAGCUGGUCUGAGAGGAUGAUCAGCCACAUUGGGACUGAGACACGGCCCAAACUCCUACGGGAGGCAGCAGUGGGGAAUAUUGCACAAUGGGCGCAAGCCUGAUGCAGCCAUGCCGCGUGUGUGAAGAAGGCCUUCGGGUUGUAAAGCACUUUCAGUAAGGAGGAAAGGUUAAGUGUUAAUAGCACUUAGCUGUGACGUUACUUACAGAAGAAGCACCGGCUAACUCCGUGCCAACAGCCGCGGUAAUACAGAGGGUGCGAGCGUUAAUCGGAAUUACUGGGCGUAAAGCGUACGCAGGCGGUUUGUUAAUCGAGAUGUGAAAGCCCCGGGCUCAACCUGGGAACUGCAUUUCGAACUGGCAAACUAGAGUGUGAUAGAGGGUGGUAGAAUUUCAAGUGUAGCGGUGAAAUGCGUAGAGAUCUGAACGAAUACCGAUGGCGAAGGCAGCCACCUGCGUCAACACUGACACUCAUGUACAAUAGCGUGGGGAGCAAACAGGAUUAGAUACCCUGAUAGUCCACGCCGUAGACGAUGAUAGCUAGCCGUCGGUGUGCAUGCAUAUCGGUGGCGCGAUACCUCGAGAGAUCGAGGGUUCCUUCGGGACGCCAGGACAGGUGCUGCAUGGCUGUCGUCAGCUCGUGUUGUGAAAUGUUGGGUUAAGUCCCGUAACGAGCGCAACCCUUGUCCUUAUUUGCCAGCGCGUAAUGGCGG
rnacentral:rRNA from 1 species